rnacentral:misc_RNA from 1 species
UCUCCGUUGGUGAACCAGCGGAGGGAUCAUUACUGAGUUACCGCUCUACAACCCUUUGUGAACAUACCUAACUGUUGCUUCGGCGGGCAGAGGUCCCUCGCGGAUCUCUCCCGGCAACGCCCUCACGGGCGGAGCGCCCGCCGGAGGAUACCAAACUCUAUUUUAACGACGUUUCUUCUGAGUGGCACAAGCAAAUAAUUAAAACUUUCAACAACGGAUCUCUUGGUUCUG